rnacentral:rRNA from 1 species
GAGUAACGCGUAAGCAAUCUACCUUCAAGAUGGGGACAACACUUCGAAAGGGGUGCUAAUACCGAAUGAAUGAGAGAUGACCGCAUGGAUAUUUCUCUAAAGGAGGCCUCUGAAAAUGCUUCCGCUUGAAGAUGAGCUUGCGUCUGAUUAGCUAGUUGGUGAGGGUAAAGGCCCACCAAGGCGACGAUCAGUAGCCGGUCUGAGAGGAUGAACGGCCACAUUGGGA